UACAGAGGUCCCAAGCGUUGUUCGGAUUCACUGGGCGUAAAGGGUGCGUAGGUGGUUGGGUAAGUUUGAUGUGAAAUCUCUGAGCUCAACUCAGAAACUGCAUUGAAUACUAUCCAGCUAGAGAAUCGGAGGGGGGACUGGAAUACUUGGUGUAGCAGUGAAAUGCGUAGAUAUCAAGUGGAACACCAGUGGCGAAGGCGGCCAACUGGGCUUGUUCUGACGCUGAGGUGCGAAAGCGUGGGGGAGCGAACAGG
rnacentral:rRNA from 1 species